ACUCCUACGGGAGGCAGCAGUGGGGAAUAUUGGACAAUGGGCGCAAGCCUGAUCCAGCCAUGCCGCGUGAGUGAUGAAGGCCCUAGGGUUGUAAAGCUCUUUCACCGGUGAAGAUAAUGACGGUAACCGGAGAAGAAGCCCCGGCUAACUUCGUGCCAGCAGCCGCGGUAAUACGAAGGGGGCUAGCGUUGUUCGGAUUUACUGGGCGUAAAGCGCACGUAGGCGGACUAUCAAGUCAGGGGUGAAAUCCCGGGGCUCAACCCCGGAACUGCCUUUGAUACUGGUAGUCUUGAGUUCGAGAGAGGUGAGUGGAAUUCCGAGUGUAGAGGUGAAAUUCGUAGAUAUUCGGAGGAACACCAGUGGCGAAGGCGGCUCACUGGCUCGAUACUGACGCUGAGGUGCGAAAGCGUGGGGAGCAAACAGGAUUAGAAACCCUAGUAGUCCCA
rnacentral:rRNA from 1 species